ensembl:lncRNA
ACUAAAUCAGGACUAAACCAGGACUAAACCAGGUCUAAACCAGGACUAAACCAGGACUAAACCAGGACUAAACCAGGACUAAACCAGGUCUAAACCAGGACUGAACCAGGUCUAAACCAGGACUAAACCAGGUCUAAACCAGGACUAAACCAGGACUAAACCAGGGCUAAACCAGGUCUAAACCAGGACUAAACCAGGACUAAACCAGGACUAAACCAGGUCUAAACCAGGUCUAAACCAGGACUAAACCAGGUCUAAACCAGGACUAAACCAGGACUAAACCAGGUCUAAACCAGGACUAAACCAGGACUGAACCAGGACUGAACCAGGACUAAACCAGGUCUAAACCAGGACUAAACC